rnacentral:misc_RNA from 1 species
AAAACGCUGUACUCGUGUGUCUGUGGCCACCGUUCUCUCCACCCUAGUAGCCGCACCCACACCCAGCCUACGCGCACGUACUUUCAGGGGUGGGGGGACGCACUGGGCAUAUGAGCGUCGAGGACGACUACCGCGCCUCUAUCGCGCAGGCACGCGAGGAGGAUCGCAACAGCCGUGAAUGCCGUCGCAAGCUGCGCAACGAAUACCAAGAUGACCUCCUCAAAACGCGCAUCGCGCAUGCCCGCAGUUGCUUUCUGAGAGACGUUCGCUUCCACAGUGAUCGCCGCUCCACCGCGGAGGAGAGGGUGAUGCUCACGCUUCGAAGCACUGCAGCCUGCUGGUCGAAGGUGUGCGAGCGCUCCAUUACCCGCCAGCUCGAUAUCGAGUCUGCCAAGAAACAGAAACAGUUGCGCGACGUCGCCUUCCUUGAACGCAUGCAUCAGCGAGAGGUGGAUGAGCAGCGCAGCGUGGAGGAGACCGAUCAGGCACGAUGGGUGGACUUGAACGCGCGGUACGCCGCUCAGCUGCUUGCCGACCGAAACGCUGCGGUGCAGGCAACAUUGGAAGACAUGAUGGGACACGCUGCGCAGUGCUUGAGUGAACUAGAGGAGAACCACCUCGACCACGCAGGCACAACGCUGCUCGCAGCGUUUUCGGUGGAGGCGACGCUGCGGCGGCUGAGCUCGGCCGACGACGUCGCUGUUUCAGCCGUGCGGGAGGCGUUUCACCACAUCUUCCACGGCAGCCCGUAUGCUCAGUCGAGCCCCGCAUUUCUUGCUCUGCUAGAGUUCUGUUACGUGCAGCAGCAACCCAAGCCACCGCUGGCGCAGGUGCAUUGUCUGUGCUCGGUGCCCAUCUUGGUAGUAGAUGGCCCCAAGUACAGCGGCAAGAGUCUCUUGACCAACUUUUUGAAGUCGAAAUACCGCCUCCUGUGCAUCUCAGACGAGACGCUGGUGCAGCGCGCCCUGCAAGUCGCCUCUUCAGACGUGAUGGAGAAAGAGGAGGAAGGCGCCGAUGACUGGGCUGAACUCGGGCGCUGCCUGCAAGAGACGCUUUUGGACGGCGGCGCCGUGAGCGUGGAGCUCAUGAUGGAUCUGCUGUGUCUGCAGCUGACGGAGCUGCGAAACGCACGUGAGGCUUUGCCAUAUGACGCCGUUCUACUCGAGGGUGUUGUCCGCUCCGUCGACGCUUACAAGAUGCUGGCGCAGCGACUCAGCAAUCCGCUGCUGCACCCGUACCUCAAGGUUGCGCAGCGAUGGGGCCUGUCAUUGACUGCUCUAGUCGGUGGCGGCGGCAGCGCGGCAGACGAGGAGGCGACGGCAGGGGAUCUUCCUCUCCUUUUGCGUCUGCCCGAUCAUCCCUCUUCGGAGUACGACAUGCCCGCGAAGCCGGAGCCAAAGGCGCGGCCCCUCAAGAAGGUGGAUCUCGCCGCCCUUCCCCCUGCGGAGCUACCGGAGGUGGAGAACACGGAGGCCGCCCAAGAGGCGGAGCGCGCGUUUGUGGCGCGGGCUGAACGUGAGCUCGCCUCCCUCCCUACGGUGCUCUCCGGUGUGCUGCACAUCAGCUGUGCCCCGGAGGAGGUGUUUCACCGCUUUGCAGGGCUGCGCACGGACUGCGAGACAGGCGCGAGGUACCACCUCACCUACAAUCCACCGCCCCAAGAGCGGCUGCCCUACAUGAUGCCGCUGUGUCGCCUCGAUACGUCGUCGGUGGAGCUGCAUGAAGCUGUCUUUCACCACAUGGAGGGGUGGGGUGCCACACGCCGAUGGUUGGCGCAGCAGUCAGAGCGGCCCACCUUUGCCCGGGUCUACGAACUGGCGGGCGACGGCCCAGCCGACGGCGUGCAAAAGGAGGCGCUGGAGGCGGUGGAUCAAAUCAUCUCCCACUUUCGCAUUAGCCGACAGCUGCUCCACGAGCACGACGCUUCCGCUGCUCGGCUGAGCGAGUUGGAGACGACGUGGCAGUCGCAGAAGGCUGCCCGGGAAGCGGAGCGGCUGCGGCUCAUCGAGCUCUACACCGAGAAAGGCGCCCCGAUCCCGCCAGCCCUCCAAGCCACCGUGGCGAAGACGUCCGGCUCGUCGGCGACCACGCUGAGCGCCGCUGCAGCGGGCGUCAUCUUAAAGGCUCUGGCAAAUUUCACGGACCUCUACGAGGGCUCCUACGCCGGCACCUGGAGCAGCAUGACGCACCUGGUGCAGCUCUUUCUCCGCUACUACACGAGCGUAGAGUCGCAAAUGGCUUUAUACUGGAAGCGACCGGACGACAAGCAGGCCAUCCUGAACCGCUUCCAGCGGUGCUUCGACUCGCUGCCGGCCUCCAUGCGUGUACCGCCAGCGUGCAAGGCGGAGCUGCAUCUCUCCCUAGACGCGCUGGACGAGGCACUGCACAGGUGCAUCGCCUUACGCGACGGCGAGGCGAGGGGCUUGCUUGACACCUUGACCAGCGCGGCAAGCUUCAUGGGGGGCUGGCAGACGCUUGUGUGUCAGGCAUUCACCCGCCUCUUACAGGCCGAGGCGGAUCGAUACUUCUUCGCGAUGCACCUUUUCUCCUUCUUUCUCGGCGCUGUCACAGGUGAGCCUCUGGGGUUCGACGAUGUCGAGGUGGACAUACCGCUGACGUCGAUGAACACCCCAGACCGGCCGACGCAAUCGACCAGCGCCGCCGGGGACACUUCGCCGUCGGUUUCGCCGGGCGUAAAAUCAACCAAGGAGAAGCGAGUGACGUCAACGAAGAAGUCGCAUAAGGUAGCCGACGAGCCGAAUGAGAAGAUCGCUGAGGACCAGCUUGCGGAGGUGGCGCAGGGGGUGCUGAACGGCUUCUCCUCUAUCACGGAUAAGCUGAAGGCCGUCGUGGAUGCGCAUGGGAAGACGCCAAAGCGCGCCGGCAGUGGCGUCAGUGGCGGCAGCGGCAGCGCGGUCAACAGCCCUGCACCACCCACCUCCAUCUUCGCCAUCGCCGCAGCCAAGUGUUACGGCUUCAUGGAAGCGGAAAGGGUCGCCGCCACCUCGCGGGUGGCGGCGAUUCACUCUUGUGGGCGAAUGUUGCUGAAGGAGGCGGAGGCGCACGCAAAGAAGAUGCGCACACGAAUGGAGGCGAGCCUCUUAGACGUGAUGGCACGAGAGGCCGCUGCCGCAAACACGGCCGUGUACGUUUUGCGUGAGUGUGUGGAGGCGGAGAAAAAGAGCCCCGCGAUGCACCUGGGCUGCACCACCUUUGCUGUGCUCGGAGAGAGGCCUCCGUGUGCUUCAAAGAACGCUGGCAGCACCGCCGAAGCGGUGGGCUGCACGUCGCCAAUGCCAACGAAGAUCGGCUCCACAAGUGAGGAGCGCCGCAGCUUCCUCACAGACGUGCCGCUCUUUGCCAAGCUGACGGAUCCGCAGCUCAUGGUUCACCCCGGGCUGACGGCGGUGCGACUCCUCGAGCUCGCCCAGCAGUUCCGCUGCGUCGCGCCCGACUACCAGCUAAGCCACUUCGACUUUAUGCUUCUCGUAGAGGACGACGACUACGCUGAGGCCGCGGUUAUUGGUCUGGACACGGCGCACAUGACACGAAAGACUCGCGAGGAGCUCUUUAGCACCUUCGAUUCACAGCGCACCGGUUUUGUAGACUGGCGUGAUGUCAUUGUGCACUUACUCUUCUGGGUCACACCGGCCACUACGGCAAGGACGCCGACAUCCGCCACGGCGCAGCGAGGCAUUCGCGAGAUGUCGCUGCAGGACCUGCUGAAGACGCGUGCUGCCCUCGGGGUUUGCGGGCUCACCGAGGAGCAGUUCUUCGAAAAGUCGUUCUUCUUGGACCACUACCUCGAUGAAGCGCUUGUGGAGGCCUACAUGCGCAUUUUGUGGUGCACGUUCCACGACGCCGCCAACCAGAUUCUUCAACCGCACAUACUGCUCGGCUUCUUGUGUGCCGACCCGCAGCCGAUCCGUGGCGCUCAAAAGGCUUUCCAUGUUCUCUCCGCACCCGGCGCAGAGGGCCGCGUCUCCUUGGAUGAGAUGGACGCUCUGUGCCACCUCAAGGCGACAAAUGCGCGUCUGAUGGACCAACCAGACCCCUGUAGCAAAAUGAAUUUGCGGCUUCUCUUCGGCACCGCAGCGACGUGCUCCUUCGAGGAGGUCUGCGCCUCGCCAAUGGGGCGCAAAAUGCUCAACCAUGCGGACCUCUUCCGCCGCCGGCAAUUCCUCAAGCGCAAGUAGCGGAUCACCACCGCCGUUGGGGCGCAUGUAGGCGCACGGUAGCAUCGCCACUGUUGUUCCUCCCUAUCCCUGCGGUUGCUGUGCGUCGUGACACGCAGUGCGAGCAACAGCGACGAGAGAACAAUGAGAGCCGAAACGGCACUGCUGGACAACGUGUUCAGCGUACCUGCCGUUUUCGCCGGUUUCUUUGGCACUCGCCUCUCCGCGCCCCGACCCUUUGCCCCCACCCCCUCACUGAGUCAAGCACGUGGGAAGAGCAUUACCUACACGCACGCAGAGUUUGUGGCGCUCUUUGCUGUGGAUGUUCUGCCCUCCUACCCUCUUCUCGCUUCCUCGGCCUCUUCAAGAUAUGCUGCGCUCUCUUCGGAGGUGUGUGCCUCUCUCCACCGCGACCACUCAUCAUCCCCAUCGUGGUAGCCUCUCCCCCUUCCCCGCACCCGCAACACCCUUGCCCUUUCCUGGACACUGUCAACACAAGCGCUUUUGACAUUGCCUGACUUCCUUUCCGUUCGUACUCCUUUCAUGUACAGUAGUUCUCAUGACGGAUCGAAUGACCGUGGCGCGUCGGGAGGAGCGAUUUGCUGUGACGCGCGUGCGUGGGUAGUUCGGUUUCGAUGUCGAUGUUACUCAAC